GAAAUCGGCAGCGAUCUCGGCUGCGGCGCUGCCGCAGCUGCCCGACCCGCGGGGCGCGCCCUGACCCUUCCUCUUUGGGCAGGCUCCAGGGCGCGCGCACGGUCGGCGUUCCGGGGCCUCAAACUCCUGGGCCUUGACCGGGCAGGCCGCGUCUCCCCGGGUGUGAGUCCACCGGGACCCGGCCGCCGCCUAAGCGCUGGCGCCACAGAAGCGGCGGCGCCCGAAGACGCGCUCCUGGCUCGGCCCGACAGCCUCGCUUGGCCGCCAGUUCUUCUGCAGCCGAAGGCGGUUGUUCUUUUAAAGAAAUUUUGAAGACGAAGGUUUUUUUCUUUUUUUUAAUGGCUUUACAGAAUCUUAAAUAGAAUACAGUUUGACAUGACGGCAAAAAAUGUUGGUUUGACUUCCACAAAUGCAGAAGUAAGAGGAUUUAUAGAUCAGAAUCUCAGUCCAACAAAAGGCAACAUUUCAUUUGUUGCAUUUCCAGUUUCCAAUACCAACUCACCUACGAAGAUUUUACCAAAAACCUUAGGACCAAUAAAUGUGAAUGUUGGACCCCAAAUGGAUGCAACCAGAAGGCAUCAUCUUUGAAGC
rnacentral:sRNA from 1 species